rnacentral:rRNA from 1 species
ACUCCUACGGGAGGCAGCAGUGGGGAAUAUUGCACAAUGGGCGCAAGCCUGAUGCAGCCAUGCCGCGUGUAUGAAGAAGGCCUUCGGGUUGUAAAGUACUUUCAGCAGUGAGGAAGGUGGGUAUGUUAAUAGCAUACUCAUUUGACGUUAGCUGCAGAAGAAGCACCGGCUAACUCCGUGCCAGCAGCCGCGGUAAUACGGAGGGUGCGAGCGUUAAUCGGAAUUACUGGGCGUAAAGCGCAUGCAGGUGGUUUGUUAAGUCAGAUGUGAAAGCCCGGGGCUCAACCUCGGAAUUGCAUUUGAAACUGGCAAACUAGAGUACUGUAGAGGGGGGUAGAAUUUCAGGUGUAGCGGUGAAAUGCGUAGAGAUCUGAAGGAAUACCGGUGGCGAAGGCGGCCCCCUGGACAGAUACUGACACUCAGAUAGCGAAAGCGUGGGGAGCAAACAGGAUUAGAUACCCUGGUAGGCUCU